rnacentral:sRNA from 1 species
CGCCCGCAGGACCGGAAGCGGGCCUCCCGGAGGGAACGCGCGGACCCGGCCUGAGGUAGCGAUGACGGGGCGUCUCCGUGUAGUCCUGGCUGUCCAGGACCUCAAUCUGUAGAUCAGCUGCCCCCAGAUUCGAAGAGAUCCGCCUACCUCCGCGGCCAUUAAAGGUGUGCCACAAAGCGUGGCCGGAGUUUAUUUUUGCCUGUCAUUGUUGGGUGCUCUGCAACCUUCUGACUUCACAGCGUUUCUCUUUACUACAUUUCCUAUUCUAAGCCUUGUGGCUUCUGCCUGGGUCCUUGUGGAGGAAGAGAAUAGGCCUGUGGGAGGCCGCAGGUUUGUCACCUUCUGGAAAGAAGCGGGUGGAAAAGACGAGGUGAGGGAGAGUCACCAGAGCGGAUCUGCCGAGGAAUGAGGCCCAAGGCGACGGACCCUCUGCCUUUAAUUCCGAGCACCCACAGAGGCUGUCAGACACGGCUUGUUGGGAAACCGAUAUCCCAGAAGGCUGCUUGCAGGUGGCUGCUGGAGUGACCACAGCCGACCUGGAGUUCGUUAUCAUUUGUACGCUACACUGCACACCCUCCAGGUGGUUAAGGCUAAAAGAACCAUAAAAGUCGUGAAGUGGCGGCGGCUGAAUUCCCAGAAAAAAAAAGAAAAAACACACAAAUAUUCCUCCAGCCCUGAAGAACUAACCGGGCCAAUGAUGGGGUGUUGACUAGUCUCUAUGUCAGCUUGUUGGGAGCUAGUCAUCUGAGAGGAGGGGAUUCACUUGAGAGAAAUGCCUUCGUAAGACUGUAGCUUUUGCUGCCACUUGUGAUGGCUGUUCUUGGUUGUCAACUUGAUUAUACCUGGAGUUAAUUAAAAUCCCAGAGUGGAGGGCAGACCAGCGAGGGAUUUUUGCCUAGUUUGAAGUAGGGAGAUCUAUGCACACACGCCUAUGCUCUGGGUCUUGAGACAGGAAGGCACACCUUUAAUCUGUUACUCUCCCCGCUGGCAAGUCCGUUCCGUCACUGGCAUGGCGCCUGCUUCUUUGAGAUCCCAGCGUACUCUGAAGACCAGCCGGGGCAUCCAGCCGGAGGACAAAGCAGCUACUGGAUUCUUGGACUUUUCCUUCACAUCCAUCCAUUGUUGGAUUAGCUGGACUGCAGCCAGUGAGUAAUUGUAGUGAAUCCUCUUCAUAUGGAUAGAGGGAUUCAUUCUAUACAUUCUGUUGUUCUAGAGAACCCUGCCUAGUACACCUCCCCUUUAAAUUAUUUUACAUCGGUGUGCAUGUAUGUGUGUGUGUGUGUGUGCAUGCACUUGCACAUGAGUGUGGGCAUAUGUGUACAUGUGUGCUCGUGCGUGUCACAUGCCUUAGUGAGUAUGUAGGACACCUUGUGAGAGUCAGUUCUCUCCUAGCAUUGGGUCCUGAGGGUCCAACCUAGGCUAUCAGGUCAGAUGAUGGGCACCUUUACCUGUUGGACAUCUCACUGUUCCUGAGGGUCCAACCUAGGCUACGAGAUCUGGCGAUGCG